AUGCUCCGCCUCAGGGCGUUCCGGCCGACGAGCGACAAGGUGGUGAAGAUCCAGCUCCACCCCACUCACCCCUGGCUCGUCACAGCCGACGCCAAUGACCGCGUCUCGGUCUGGGACUGGGAGCACCGCCAGGUGGUCUAUGAGCUGAAGGCUGGUGGCGUCGAUGAACGGAGGCUGGUUGGUGUGAAGCUUGAGAAGCUCGCCGAGGGAGAAACUGAUUCGAAAGGAAAGCCCACUGAGGCAAUCCGAGGCGGAAGUGUAAAGCAGGUUUCUUUUUAUGAUGACGAUGUACGCUUUUGGCAACAUUGGCGCAAUUGCUCUGCUGCUAGCGAGGCUCCAACUGCAGUUAAUCAACAAUCGUCCGCUUUCAGUGCACCUGCACCAUCUACAAGAGGAAGACAUUUUGUUGUCAUUUGUUGUGAGAACAAAGCAAUAUUUUUGGACUUGGUGACUAUGCGUGGCCGCGAUGUUCCUAAGCAAGAGCUUGACAACAAGUCUCUUUUAUGUAUGGAGUUCCUCUCCAGGUCAUCUUCUAGUGAUGCCCCUCUUGUUGCAUUCGGGGCAUCCGAUGGUGUGAUCAGAGUUCUCUCAAUGAUGACAUGGAAGCUUGUGCGAAGGUAUACUGGUGGACAUAAAGGAGCAAUAUCUUGCUUAAUGACAUUCAUGUCUGCAGCCGGCGAGGUACAUUUAGUUUCUGGUGGUAGUGAUGGCCUGCUGGUAUUAUGGAGCGCUGAUCAUAUCCAUGACUCUCGGGAACUUGUACCUAAGAUUAGUUUGAAGGCUCACGAUGGAGGGGUGGUUGCGGUUGAACUUUCAAGGGUAAUGGGAAGUGCUCCACAGCUCAUUACAAUAGGGGCUGAUAAAACUUUAGCCAUAUGGGAUACAGUUACAUUCAAGGAAAUAAGGCGCAUUAAACCAGUACCUAAACUUGCCUGCCAUAGUGUUGCAUCUUGGUGCCACCCUCGUGCACCAAACCUUGAUAUUCUGACUUGUGUCAAGGACUCCCAUAUUUGGGCCAUAGAACAUCCGACCUAUUCUGCUUUGACAAGACCACUCUGUGAAUUGUCCUCGCUUGUUCCUCCACAAGCCCUUGCACAGCAUAAGAAACUGAGGGUUUACUGCAUGGUGGCACAUCCCUUGCAACCGCAUCUUGUUGCUACUGGAACAAAUAUCGGUAUUAUUUUAAGUGAGUUUGAUCCAAGAGCACUACCGGCUGUUGCUCCCCUACCAGCACUGACAGAAAGCAAGGAACACUCUGCUGUUUACAUUGUUGAAAGAGAACUUAAGUUGCUGAAUUUCCAAUUUUCAAACACAGCAAACCCGUCCCUGGGAAGUGCAUCUGAAACAGGAAGAUCAAGGAAUGAAUCUAUAGACCAGCUCAUAGUAAAGCAAAGCAAGAAGCAUAUCAGCACGCCCGCUCCUCAUGAUUCGUAUUCAAUUCUUUCAGCUAGCAGUUCUGGAAAGUAUGUUGCAGUUGUAUGGCCAGACAUUCCUUCAUUCGUUGUGUACAAAGCUAGUGAUUGGUCAGUUGUUGAUUCAGGCACGGGAAAACUUUUCGCGUGGGACAGCUGUCGCGACAGAUAUGCUUUGGUCGAGAGUGCAUUGGCUCCAAGGAUGCCACUUAUUGUGAAAGGUGGCUCCUCUAAAAAGGCAAAAGAAGCUGCUGCAGCAGCAGCUCAAGCAGCAGCUGCAGCUGCUAGUGCUGCUUCUUCAGCCACAGUGCAAGUUCGCAUUUUGUUAGAUGAUGGAACUGCUCAUGUUCUGCAGAGAUCCAUUGAUGGCCGUAGUGAACCGGUCGUUGGCUUGCAUGGUGGUGCUCUGCUUGGUGUUACAUACCGAACAUCUCGUAGAAUCAGUCCUUUGACGGCCACUGCUAUAUCAACUGUUCAAUCAAUGCCCCUAUCAGGCUUCGGAGGAAGUGGAUCAUCUUUUGCUUCGGAUGACCCAUUUUCCUCCAGAGAAGGGCCGCCCCAAAAUUUCCAGUUAUACAGCUGGGAGACCUAUCAGCCCGUAAGCGGCUUACUUGCACAACCUGAAUGGACCGUGUGGGACCAAACUGUUGAAUAUUGUGCAUUUGCUUAUCAGCAGUACAUUGUAAUUUCUUCCCUGCGACCCCAGUUUAGGUAUCUCGGGGAUGUUUCAAUUCCUUCUGCUACUGGUGCUGUUUGGCAUCGUAGACAGUUGUUUGUGGCUACACCAACAACCAUCGAGUGCGUUUUUGUUGAUGCUGGAGUUGCUGCCAUUGAUAUUGAGACAAAAAAGAGGAAAGAAGAAAUGAAAGCAAGAGAAGCCCAGGGUCGAGCAGUUGCAGACCAUGGAGAUUUGGCUCUUAUCACAGUCGAAGGUCCCCAGGUCACAGCAAGUGAAAAAAUAUCAUUAAGACCUCCUAUGUUGCAGGUUGUUCGUUUAGCCUCCUUUCAGCAUGCUCCGUCAAUACCACCGUUUAUAGUGCCGAAGCAAUCCAAAUUAAAUGGGGAUGAUUCAGUAUUUCUGAAAGAAUUGGAUGAUAGAAGAUAUUCUGAAGUGGCUGUUGCUGGAGGAGGGGUAUCGGUUGCAGUAACUCGCUUUCCUCCUGAGCAGAAAAGACCUAUUGGGCCACUUGUCCUGGUUGGUGUCAGAGAUGGAGUUCUGUGGCUUGUUGACAGGUAUAUGUGUGCACAUGCCUUGUCUCUCAGCCAUCCCGGUAUUAGAUGUCGGUGCCUUGCAGCAUAUGGUGAUCCAGUUAGUGCUGUCAAAUGGGCUACUAGACUUGGCCGAGAGCACCAUGAUGACCUUGCUCAAUUUAUGCUUGGAAUGGGCUAUGCUACUGAAGCACUUCAUUUACCUGGAAUAUCCAAGAGGUUGGAAUUCGAUCUUGCAAUGCAAAGCAAGGACUUGAAAAGAGCACUUGCAUGUCUGCUGACAAUGAGCAAUAGCCGAGACGUGGGACAAGAAACUACUGCUACAGAUGUUACGCAGAUUCUCAAUUUGGCAGUAGCUAAGCAGGCUAAGCAAGAAAGUCUUGCAGAUGCCGUGCAGGGAAUAGUGAAAUUUGUCAAGGAGUUUUUUGACCUUAUUGAUGCCGCAGAUGCCACCGGCCAGGCUGAAAUAGCUCGUGAAGUUCUGAAGAGAUUAGCUGCAGCAGCUUCUGUAAAGGGAGCUCUGCAUGGGCAAACCUUACGAGGCCUGGCACUCCGUCUUGCAAACCAUGGGGAACUUACUAGACUAUCGGGUUUAGUGUCCAAUUUGAUCACAGCUGGCCAUGGACGUGAAGCAGCAUUUGCAGCUGCAGUUCUGGGUGAUAAUGCCCUCAUGGAGAAAGCAUGGCAAGACACAGGAAUGCUGGCUGAGGCCGUUUUACAUGCUCAAGCCCAUGGUCGUCCAUCAUUAAGGAGCUCAGUCAUAACAUGGAACAAGAUGCUACAAAAGGAGCUGGAUCACACACCAACCGUAAAAACCGAUGCUGCAGCAGCGUUCUUGGCUUCUCUUGAGGACCCGAAGCUCACUAGUUUGGGAGAAACUGAGAAAAAGCCACCAAUUGAAAUACUGCCUCCUGGAAUGCCGCCUCUAUCUGCACCUCCCAUCAUUAUUAAAAAGGCUGCUGCAAAACCUGGGCUUCCUAAUGCCGCACAGACCCCAAAUGCAGGUGCUCCUAUGAAUCAAGGCACCCCAAUGGCUCAAGGUACUCCCAUGAAUCAAAGCACCCCAAUGGCCCAAGGUACUCCCGUGGCACAAGGUGCCCCCAUGGCUCAAGCCCCUCCUGCUCCGGCACAGAGCACCGAUGAGGUAAAGCCAUCAGAGGCUACAACAGCUCCUGACAAUGUGGAGGCUACAGCAGCUACCAGCAAUGCCGAAGCUACUGCAGCCCCUGGUACUGGGGAAGCUACAGAAGCUCCGGUUCCAGACCCAACAAAUAGCAGUCCUGACGCUGCUGCUGCUCCAGCUCCUGCCCCAGCAGCUGAUUCCAGUGGCACUGAUGCACUUGCUGUUACUCCCAGUGAUUCUACAAAUGAUGCACCUUCUUCCAAGGAACCAGAGACACAGGAUAAACCACCUUCAACAGAGGUGUCGCCAUCACCUACACCCAGUAUUUCUGCUGUAUAA
rnacentral:rRNA from 1 species